GGAGAAAUACCCAAGUCGGCCGAAGGGGGCGGUUUGCUAAACCGUUAGGUCGGGGAUUCCCGGCGCGAGGGUUCGAAUCCCUCUUUCUCCGCCA
rnacentral:tRNA from 1 species